rnacentral:rRNA from 1 species
UUAAAUGGCCGCAGUAUUUUGACUGUGCAAAGGUAGCAUAAUCAUUAGUUUCUUAAUUAGAAGCUGGAAUGAAAGGUUUAACGAGAAAAUAACUGUCUCUUUAUAAAUGAUUUAGAAUUUUAUUUUUAAGUUAAAAAGCUUAAAUAUAUUUAAAAGACGAGAAGACCCUAUAGAGUUUUAUAUAAUUCAUAUAAUAAUUUUAUAUUGAAUAGUUUAAUAUUUUUUAUUUAUUAUAUUUUGUUGGGGUGAUAGAAAAAUUUAAUUAACUUUUUAAAAUUUUUACAUUAAUUUAUGAAUUUAUGAUCCAUUUUUUUUUAUGAUUAUAAGAUUAAAUUACCUUAGGGAUAACAGCGUAAUUUUUUUUUAGAGCUCUAAUCGAUAAAGAAGUUUGCGACCUCGAUGUUGGAUUAAAAUUUAAUUUUGGUGUAGAAGCUAAAAUUUUAGGUCUGUUCGACCUUUAAAAUUUUACAUGAUCUGAGUUUAAACCGGUGUAAGCCAGGUUGGUUUCUAUCUUUAAAUUUAUAUAAUAUUUUAGUACGAAAGGACCGAAUAUAAGAAAAAAUUUUUAAAUAUUGAAUAAUAUUAAUUU